rnacentral:misc_RNA from 1 species
AAAUUUGAUUUGCGUUUAUUUUUGUUUCUGUUUUUUUUUUUUAUCUUUUUCGUUUUCCUUUUGUGUGGUAAAUAUGCAAAGAUAUCGAGUCGUGUUUGUUUUUUUUUUUUUUUUCUUUUCUUUAGCGCAGCAUAGUCGCGCUGCAAUAUCUGAUUAAUCCGUAUAUAAGUGACUCAAUGAUUUUUUUUUGCAAUUUCGAUUAUUUAAUAAUUAGGUAUAAUGUAUAUAGUAUAUAAGACAAUACUAAGCUCACAAAAUAGUAGUGUACGUGUAGUUUGUUGUUGUUGUUGUUUUUUUUUUUUUUGCUUUUUUUCCCAAUUUCUUUACUUUUUUUUGUUUUCAACUAUUAAAAGCCUAGUUGUAGCGGUUACGACGAUAAAUUUUUUAGAAUCGUUUCUUUUGUUUUGUUUUUUCCUUUGAAUAUUCCAUUCAUAAACUUUAACUAUAUCAUCACUUCGAAACAAUAAUGUUGAGAAUAUAAUGAUGAUGGCAUUUCUGAUAAUAAUAAUAACAACAACAACCCGACGUAAAGUAUUAUUAUCGCAACAAUGUAAUCGGGAAUUGAUUGAAACGUGUUUGUAGUAAAUUUGUGAUCGUUUAUUUAUAUCAUAUCGUAUCGUACUGUUAUGUGUUGCGUGCGCAUAUAUUUAUUUUAUUUUGAUUUUUUUUUUUCUGCUUUUUGAGUUUGUUAUUAUUAUUAUUAAAGCUGACGAUAAUGGGUGAGAAUGAAAGUUUUAGAAGAAAAAAAAAAGAAGACAAAAUAUAUUUAAUCAAGCGUAUAAAAAUGAAAAACUCAAGAAACUUAAUAAUAGUGAUAUUAUAAUAAUAAUAAUCAUAAUCAUAUGAAAUAAUAAUAAUUGUAAUAGGUGGUAAUAGUUUUUCAAAUAUAUUUAGAUACAAAACUUAUUUUCUAAUAGUAUAAUAAUAAUAGUAAACGAUAUUUGAAAAAGACAGGGAAGCAAAUAUCAAUGUAAAGCUCAUAUUUAUAACUCUGUGUUUUUUUUUUUUUUUUUUAAUCUUUUUCGUAUUCUAUCCAGUCACGAGCAUAAAAAAUAGCAUAAUAUAAACGCGAUACGAUUAAUAUUCGCGAGACGCGCAGAGAUUUCACUUUUCGCAAUUUUAGAAUUCGGUAUCGUCGGGGGAAUGAGAAAAAAAAUAACCGAAAACACAGCGGGUAGUGUUAAUGGGAUAUCGAUAUGGAAAUAAUAACAGUGACAACAACAACAAUAACGAUAAAAGUAAAAAACAAUAAUAAUAAUAAUGAUCAAAACAAUGAAAAUAGUAAAGAUGUAUAGUACAA